rnacentral:rRNA from 1 species
ACACGUGGGUGAUCUGCCCUGCACUUCGGGAUAAGCCUGGGAAACUGGGUCCAAUACCGGAUAGGACGAUGGUUUGGAUGCCAUUGUGGAAAGUUUUUCGGUGUGGGAUGAGCUCGCGGCCUAUCAGCUUGUUGGUGGGGUAAUGGCCUACCAAGGCGUCGACGGGUAGCCGGCCUGAGAGGGUGUACGGCCACAUUGGGACUGAGAUACGGCCCAG